rnacentral:rRNA from 1 species
UACGUAGGCAGCAAGCGCUGUUCGGAGUUACUGGGCGUAAAGGGUGCGUAGGCGGCCUUAUAAGUAUGGUGUGAAAUCUCCCGGCUUAACUGGGAGGGUGCGCUAUAGACUGUGGGGCUAGAGUGUGGGAGAGGAAAGUGGAAUUCCUGGUGUAGCGGUGAAAUGCGUAGAUAUCAGGAGGAACACCGGUGGUGUAAACGGCUUUCUGGACCAUAACUGACGCUGAGGCACGAAAGCGUGGGUAGCAAACAGG